GUCCGGUGGAGGUAUUCGAGUGCGGUUUCGGCAAUUGAGGUGGAUGCAUUCCUUAGUUUAUUUCAUAGAUACUAGUCGGGGUACCCCACGUGGCAGUUAAUAUUCUAGCGGAUUGUGUAUUCUCAGAUUAGUGGUGAGGUCCCAAAAUUCGGAUCGUCACUAGUCUAUCUUUAUUUUUCAGUCUUUUGUAUCAUUCAGAGACUUAUGUUGUAUCUUCAGAUUCGAACCUUGUAUUAGAUGCUCUUUAUACUUAUGACACCAGGUUUUGGGAUAAUUUCUUCAUUAUUUUUUUUUCUUUUUAUUUAAAUCGUGGCAUCACUUUCCCCUUUGGGAGUCUUGUAUGAGUUUUAUUUUUAGGGUUACACAUCAGAUUGAGUUUUGAGAUGUGUGCCAUCAUGACCUCAGUUUU